UUUGUAAAGCUUAUAAUCUUUGGCAGAAGAACUUUAUGUGGAAAGCCGAUGUUUCUACUCACUGUUAGUUUUCGGGCCUCGAAAUUCAGGAUUUUGCCUCCACAGCAUUUCUGGAAAAAAGUGCUGCAGAGGUAGAGGCCUCUCAACAGCAAUUUGUCCCUUGUCCAAGACAAAUUGGUCUCAGCUUAUUUUAGGCAUAGCAACCCUGCCAGAGUCAGUGAUUGCGGAGCUCCUGGCAAUGCACACCUGGAUCCGGAGCCUAAGAACUGGGGCUGUAUAAUUUAAUAAUUAGAAUAACAUGAAUAAGGUAGCCAGGCCCAUAACUUUGGGUAAUACCAUUUGCCGCGAGUGUCGUGGAGAAUUUACCAUUCAGAAUCAAAAGUUAAGUGAGAACCAUUAUCUUUUUCAGCCCCUCCACCUGAUGACCCACAUUAACAGGGAAGGAGAUGAAGGCAAUCAGAUUUGGUAUGGCAUCGUAAUCCUACUGACAAGCCAUGGCCAGUUAACAAAAUUUACCAAGGUCAAGGACCACAAUUCUUUGCUGUGACUGGCUGGGUUUUGCUGACCACAAUACCAUUUGAACUGGAAAUGUUGUUGCGAGAAGAAUCCGUCUUGGGAUACAAGCCUAAUAGCAAGAUCAGAGGGCAUGGUUCCCACGAAGGCUGUCCUUGGAAGAUUCAGCAACCUACUUGAUCAGCAUGGUUUCAAGAUCAUUGGGGUCACAGGGGCCUGGAGAAACCAUCACUUUGCAUGGAUGCUUGGAGACACUUGUCACCCCUGGAAUGCCUGAUGUGAACAAGAGCUGGGGCUGAACCAAGCUAAGAUCAUUGACAAUCCCUAUCAUGUUGCCAGUGCCACCAAUGGCAGGACUGAAGAUGGAUCCAUUGGAAACGAAAGGCUUUUCCUCAGCCAACACCUCAUGAACAAGACUAGAAAAUAGCACAGGUGAUCAAGACUGAUACCGCACAAUCGUCCUCCUGGUUAACAAGCUAAGACCAAUCCAGAUGGGGAGGGUUGGCCCUCCAACACCACUACCAAUGCUCUCAGCUGGGAUCAGUGGACUGCAGCAAUAUCUUACUGAAGACAAAGAUGAGGGAAUCUACAAUGUUGAUGCAAGAUUGCCCUGUGAUGUCCAGGCGUCCUUGACUACAACGCUUUGGUUCACCAGUAGGUCCUCGGAUGGUAAAGUUUGGACACAACAUCCUGAGCAUGAAGAAUAUUCUGAAAGACAGCACAAGCAAUAUUUGGACAUUCAAUUUUUCAGCUGAGAAGGACCUUUUUUCAAGUUAGGACUAAAGCCCCUGGGCCCGCUUUAGGCCUAUAACUGUAGUUUGUGCUCUGUAGUAUGUGAUUUGAAAAGAUUGGAGUAAGGAUUGUACAAUGGAACAAGUGUCAUUUUGUUUGCCACAGUAACUUAAGGCAGUGUUAGUGACCCAUUUGUUUUUCAGUUUACAAAGCCAUCAUGAUCAACUGCAUUGAUCCCUCAAAAGAUUGUUGGAGUGACUCCAUUAAAUGUAACAAAAAUAUCCAACACCUGGUAUUCUAGUUACUGUAGGUUAGCUUACUGAAGUGACCUUUUUGUUUUCACUUUUAAAAACCUAUGCGAUUUGCCACACUGAAGGUCCCUCCAGAGAUUGUUGGACUGGGUCCAUUGAAUGUGACAAAAAUAUCCAACACCUAUUUACAAAUGAAGUGAGGGGUCAGCCUUUUGGUGUAACUCCAUAUAACUGUCUGGUGAUUUCGCUCUGGGCUUGUGACAUUCUGAUCGGUCUGAAAUAAUCAUUGUCGCCCAUCCCUCAAUUUGAGGCCUGUGUCCCGAUGGUGGCGUUGAAUGGCAAAAUCAAAGGGGCAUGACGGCGGUUAAACCUAUUGCGAAUGGGCAGCAUCACAACCAGUUCUGAGAUCUGGGGGUGGUGUAGGAUAUCUGGUUACCACGCACACAUCUCUUGAAUCUGCGGUGGGUUGGUACCCCACGCUACGUAAGGGGAGGUUCUGGGUAAGACUUGGUCCACGUGAAUAGGUUGUACCUGAAAGAUGAGAAGUUGCGAAUGGUCGCCUUAGAAUAUGUCCUUCGACCAGCUAGUGCUAACCCGGUCACUGUCUCCAGGUCACCACACCUUGGUCAAUGAGCGGGCGAAGAACCCAAUGGCUCCGUCAGGAGUACAUCGUCAACUUCAGCCCGUAGUCAAACCGGUGCACGCACAAAUAUCUUAGCUGAGAGUGGGGGACGUACUUGCUUCUCAUCGGGGUAAUACAGUACCACUGUAUACAAUGACCCCAUUUUAGUUGGAAUUUACUGAGGAGUGGACGAUAAUGAGAAUUUCAGGCCAGUCCGAUUGUCACCAGUUCAGAGGGCGAUUACCUGAUAGUUAUGUGGCAUUCCGUCAAACGGUGAACUCUUUCACAUCCUUUGUAAAUUAGUGUUGCUUGUUACAUGUCACAUUCAAUGGCUCAUUUGAGGAUAGUUUCUGUGAUUCUACUUUACCAUGAGCAGGCUCAUUAAAACCUAAACUGUGUAGUUUGUGCUCUGUAGUGUGAUCUAAAAAGUUGUAAAUCUGGUUAUUGGAGUAAAGAUUGUAGAAUGGAAUAUCCGCGGGAUGCCCUAAUCUGAGAGCCAAGAGCCAAGACGCUGUUAAAGAGCCAAUUAAGUGCUGCCAGGAAAGCCCCGAGCCAAAGAAAAAGUUUAGGCUAAUGAAACUUUGGGAAUCCUAAGCCUACAGGUACCCUACUUGAUAAAAAAUUAAUUUAUUAUGUAAUCAUUUAUGACAUUGUAAGAAAUCACCACCUUGAUAGCUAUAUGGUUCACAGUCUACCAUGCCAGGGUUUUUUAUUGUACUCUUGUUAUGCCGUCAAUACAAUAGGGCAAGUACAGUGUACAUGAGUCUGCACUUCAUACACUGUGUACAAUUGCACUUGUUUGUCAUUCCUGCCGUAUCAUCUAGCCUUGCGCAAAUAGUUCAAUCAAAAUUGUUUUAAAAAGGCAUGAUAUUGCUCAAAUUUGUAAAUUCUUGAUUGAAAUCUGCCAAUUCAAGUAAUGAGAUAGCGGUACUCUGCCUAUCUGUACUAUAAAAAAACCGACGGUUAUUGCAGCUCUUGGCUCUAGGAUUAGGGUGUCCCAAUAUCCACACCUGGUAUUCUUUAGUUACUGUGUAGUGACCUUUUUGUUUCCACUUUUAAAAACCUAUUCGAUUUGCCGCACUAUGAAGGUCCCUCCAGAGAUUGUUGGACUGGGUCCAUUAAAUGUUACAAAAAUAUCCAACACCUAUUUACAAAUGAAGUGAGGGGUCAGCCUUUUGGUGUAACUCCAUAUAACUGUCUGGUGAUUUCGCUCUGGGCUUGUGACAUUCUGAUCGGUCUGAAAUAAUCAUUGUCGCCCAUCCCUCAAUUUGAGGCCUGUGUCCCGAUGGUGGCGUUGAAUGGCAAAAUCAAAGGGGCAUGACGGCGGUUAAACCUAUUGCGAAUGGGCAGCAUCACAACCAGUUCUGAGAUCUGGGGGUGGUGUAGGAUAUCUGGUUACCACGCACACAUCUCUUGAAUCUGCGGUGGGUUGGUACCCCACGCUACGUAAGGGGAGGUUCUGGGUAAGACUUGGUCCACGUGAAUAGGUUGUACCUGAAAGAUGAGAAGUUGCGAAUGGUCGCCUUAGAAUAUGUCCUUCGACCAGCUAGUGCUAACCCGGUCACUGUCUCCAGGUCACCACACCUUGGUCAAUGAGCGGGCGAAGAACCCAAUGGCUCCGUCAGGAGUACAUCGUCAACUUCAGCCCGUAGUCAAACCGGUGCACGCACAAAUAUCUUAGCUGAGAGUGGGGGACGUACUUGCUUCUCAUCGGGGUAAUACAGUACCACUGUAUACAAUGACCCCAUUUUAGUUGGAAUUUACUGAGGAGUGGACGAUAAUGAGAAUUUCAGGCCAGUCCGAUUGUCACCAGUUCAGAGGGCGAUUACCUGAUAGUUAUGUGGCAUUCCGUCAAACGGUGAACUCUUUCACAUCCUUUGUAAAUUAGUGUUGCUUGUUACUUGUCACAUUCAAUGGCUCAUUUGAGGAUAGUUUCUGUGAUUCUACUUUACCAUGAGCAGGCUCAUUAAAACCUAAACUGUGUAGUUUGUGCUCUGUAGUAUGUGAUCUAAAAAGUUGUAAAUCCGGUUAUUGGAGUAAAGAUUGUAGAAUGGAAUAUCCGCGGGAUGCCCUAAUCUGAGAGCCAAGAGCCAAGACGCUGUUAAAGAGCCAAUUAAGUGCUGCCAGGAAAGCCCCGAACCAAAGAAAAAGUUUAGGCUAAUGAAACUUUGGGAAUCCUAAGCCUACAGGUACCCUACUUGAUAAAAAAUUAAUUUAUUAUGUAAUCAUUUAUGACAUUGUAAGAAAUCACCACCUUGAUAGCUAUAUGGUUCACAGUCUACCAUGCCAGGAUUUUUUAUUGUACUCUUGUUAUGCCGUCAAUACAAUAGGGCAAGUACAGUGUACAUGAGUCUGCACUUCAUACACUGUGUACAAUUGCACUUGUUUGUCAUUCCUGCCGUAUCAUCUAGCCUUGCGCAAAUAGUUCAAUCAAAAUUGUUUUAAAAAGGCAUGAUAUUGCUCAAAUUUGUAAAUUCUUGAUUGAAAUCUGCCAAUUCAAGUAAUGAGAUAGCGGUACUCUGCCUAUCUGUACUAUAAAAAAACCGACGGUUAUUGCAGCUCUUGGCUCUAGGAUUAGGGUGUCCCAAUAUCCACACCUGGUAUUCUUUAGUUACUGUGUAGUGACCUUUUUGUUUCCACUUUUAAAAACCUAUUCGAUUUGCCGCACUAUGAAGGUCCCUCCAGAGAUUGUUGGACUGGGUCCAUUAAAUGUUACAAAAAUAUCCAACACCUAUUUACAAAUGAAGUGAGGGGUCAGCCUUUUGGUGUAACUCCAUAUAACUGUCUGGUGAUUUCGCUCUGGGCUUGUGACAUUCUGAUCGGUCUGAAAUAAUCAUUGUCGCCCAUCCCUCAAUUUGAGGCCUGUGUCCCGAUGGUGGCGUUGAAUGGCAAAAUCAAAGGGGCAUGACGGCGGUUAAACCUAUUGCGAAUGGGCAGCAUCACAACCAGUUCUGAGAUCUGGGGGUGGUGUAGGAUAUCUGGUUACCACGCACACAUCUCUUGAAUCUGCGGUGGGUUGGUACCCCACGCUACGUAAGGGGAGGUUCUGGGUAAGACUUGGUCCACGUGAAUAGGUUGUACCUGAAAGAUGAGAAGUUGCGAAUGGUCGCCUUAGAAUAUGUCCUUCGACCAGCUAGUGCUAACCCGGUCACUGUCUCCAGGUCACCACACCUUGGUCAAUGAGCGGGCGAAGAACCCAAUGGCUCCGUCAGGAGUACAUCGUCAACUUCAGCCCGUAGUCAAACCGGUGCACGCACAAAUAUCUUAGCUGAGAGUGGGGGACGUACUUGCUUCUCAUCGGGGUAAUACAGUACCACUGUAUACAAUGACCCCAUUUUAGUUGGAAUUUACUGAGGAGUGGACGAUAAUGAGAAUUUCAGGCCAGUCCGAUUGUCACCAGUUCAGAGGGCGAUUACCUGAUAGUUAUGUGGCAUUCCGUCAAACGGUGAACUCUUUCACAUCCUUUGUAAAUUAGUGUUGCUUGUUACAUGUCACAUUCAAUGGCUCAUUUGAGGAUAGUUUCUGUGAUUCCACUUUAUCAUGA